UUUAUUUCGUGUAAAUCUACACACCGAAGACGAUAUUUUCAACUUCAUACAAUUAUAUUCACAACGAACCCAAACGAUUUGGCGCGUUAUGAAAUCCUUUAAAUCCCAAAAAAAUGACGUUUGUAAAAUCUUCAGAAGUAUUUACAAUGGCUUGCAUAAGCUUUUAAAAAAUCCAGAUAAAAAUAUAAAGCCAAGCAAAUGUGAGUGCCAAUCAGAAAUUGAAUUUGAAAUCAAAUGUUCGACCACAAGAGAAAAAAAUAGCGAUCCCUAUUUAAAAAACGGUUUACCGGCAAUUGUGAGAUUCAGAAACAACCAUAACCAUUUAGUUCCAGCCCUACCUUUGUCGAAAUCCAUAACGGACAAAAAUAUAUAAAUAACGUUUGAUAAAGGCUUAGAGCCAGUAAAUAUACGUCAAGCUUAUAACAUUGGAACCAGCCCGAAUUCAAGGCCGGCAGUUGUCGACGUCACACAUUUGUCAGACGACGACGUAGAGAUUAUGGAAAUCACUGAUCUCGAUAUCAGUGACCAGAUUAUGGACAACAAUUUGUACGGCAAGUGGGAGGACGCAAAUAUACUAUGCGAAAUCGUGGAGACGAAUGACAACAUACGCCUCGGACCGGGGCAACUGGUCGUCAACAACGGCGAACGCGCCAAAUCCAACGGCACCUCCCAUCAGUUGGUGGACACCAGUUACAGAAAAGACUAUAGCCGGAAGCUAAAAGGCAUAAUUUCGGACCACCAAAAGGCGAAGUGGCUAAGCGAUAAAAUGACAACCGAAGCCGAUCAAAUGAGCCUUUACAAAUGCUCGGGGAAAAAUUGCAAUGAGGUGUUCAGCCACCGGAAAACGUUCGUGCCACACUUGAACGACCAUUGUCGCAAUGCAAGUAAGACUUACAAGAUUGCCAGCUCCA